rnacentral:rRNA from 1 species
GAUGAACGCUGGCGGCGUGCCUAAUACAUGCAAGUCGAGCGAACAGAUGAGGAGCUUGCUCCUCUGACGUUAGCGGCGGACGGGUGAGUAACACGUGGAUAACCUACCUAUAAGACUGGGAUAACUUCGGGAAACCGGAGCUAAUACCGGAUAAUAUAUUGAACCGCAUGGUUCAAUAGUGAAAGACGGUUUUGCUGUCACUUAUAGAUGGAUCCGCGCCGCAUUAGCUAGUUGGUAAGGUAACGGCUUACCAAGGCAACGAUGCGUAGCCGACCUGAGAGGGUGAUCGGACACACUGGAACUGAGACACGGCACAGACUCCUACGGGAGGCAGCAGUAGGGAAUCUUCCGCAAUGGGCGAAAGCCUGACGGAGCAACGCCGCGUGAGUGAUGAAGGUCUUCGGAUCGUAAAACUCUGUUAUUAGGGAAGAACAAAUGUGUAAGUAACUAUGCACGUCUUGACGGUACCUAAUCAGAAAGCCACGGCUAACUACGUG